CCUGGUGAGGGAUCAAUCCCAAUUUCGGCACUUGGAGGAUCUGGAGUGGAUAUUCUCGAAAUAGAGACGACACACGACUCAAAGACGAGAUGAUGUAUGGAAUGACGCCACAAAAGGAUGCGGAAUAGCCUUUUGAUAAGUCGAGAAAGAUCAAAAUUCGACAUACGAAAAUGGAUGCAUGAUCUAUUUUUAAGAGAGAGUUUUUGAUAAAAAGAUAGAUGGGUUCUCAAAAGAGAUUACAAGGGG
rnacentral:lncRNA from 1 species